rnacentral:rRNA from 1 species
GACGAACGCUAGCGGCAGGCCUAAUACAUGCAAGUCGAACGGUGUAGCAAUACAUAGUGGCGCACGGGUGCGUAACACGUAUGCCACCUACCUUAUACUGGGGGAUAGCCUUUGGAAACGGAGAUUAAUACCCCAUAGUACAUUUAGAUGGGAUCAUUUGAAUGUUAAUGAUUUAUCGGUAUAAGCUGGGCAUGCGUCCAAUUAGUUAGUUGGUGAGGUAACGGCACACCAAGACUUUGAUUGGUAGGGGAACUGAGAGGUUAAUCCCCCACACUGGCACUGAGAUACGGGCCAGACUCCUACGGGAGGCAGCAGUAGGGAAUAUUGGGCAAUGGAGGCAACUCUGACCCAGCCAUGCCGCGUGCAGGAAGAAGGCGUUAUGCGUUGUAAACUGCUUUUAUAUAGGAAGAAAUAGUCCUUGCGAGGAAAGUUGACGGUACUAUAUGAAUAAGCACCGGCUAACUCCGUGCCAGCAGCCGCUGUAA